CAGUCGCCACGGUAAUACAGAGGGUGCGAGCGUUAAUCGGAUUUACUGGGCGUAAAGCGUGCGUAGGCGGCUUCUUAAGUCGGAUGUGAAAUCCCUGAGCUUAACUUAGGAAUUGCAUUCGAUACUGGGAAGCUAGAGUAUGGGAGAGGAUGGUAGAAUUCCAGGUGUAGCGGUGAAAUGCGUAGAGAUCUGGAGGAAUACCGAUGGCGAAGGCAGCCAUCUGGCCUAAUACUGACGCUGAGGUACGAAAGCGUGGGUAGCGAACAGGAUUAGAUACCCGCGUAGUCCCUGUCUCUUAUAC
rnacentral:rRNA from 1 species